rfam:Simian immunodeficiency virus isolate SIVcpzTAN3, complete genome.
GGACUCGGCUUGUGACAGCGCAAUCACAAGAGGCGAGGC